CUCGUGUUGUGAAAUGUUGGGUUAAGUCCCGCAACGAGCGCAACCCUUAUCCUUUGUUGCCAGCGGUCCGGCCGGGAACUCAAAGGAGACUGCCAGUGAUAAACUGGAGGAAGGUGGGGAUGACGUCAAGUCAUCAUGGCCCUUACGACCAGGGCUACACACGUGCUACAAUGGCGCAUACAAAGAGAAGCGACCUCGCGAGAGCAAGCGGACCUCAUAAAGUGCGUCGUAGUCCGGAUUGGAGUCUGCAACUCGACUCCAUGAAGUCGGAAUCGCUAGUAAUCGUGGAUCAGAAUGCCACGGUGAAUACGUUCCCGGGCCUUGUACACACCGCCCGUCACACCAUGGGAGUGGGUUGCAAAAGAAGUAGGUAGCUUAACCUUCGGGAGGGCGCUUACCACUUUGUGAUUCAUGACUGGGGUGAAGUCGUAACAAGGUAACCGUAGGGGAACCUGCGGUUGGAUCACCUC
rnacentral:rRNA from 1 species